rnacentral:rRNA from 1 species
AUCCUCCAAGGCUAAAUACUCCUGAUUGACCGAUAGUGAACCAGUACCGUGAGGGAAAGGCGAAAAGAACCCCGGCGAGGGGAGUGAAAAAGAACCUGAAACCGUGUACGUACAAGCAGUAGGAGCCUCUUUAUGGGGUGACUGCGUACCUUUUGUAUAAUGGGUCAGCGACUUAUAUUCUGUAGCGAGGUUAACCGCAUAGGGGAGCCGUAGGGAAACCGAGUCUUAACUGGGCGAAUGAGUUGCAGGGUAUAGACCC